rnacentral:SRP_RNA from 1 species
GCCAGGCGUGGUGGUGUGCGCCUGUAAUCCCAGCUACUUGGGAGGCUGAGGCAAGAGAAUCACUUGAACCCAGGAGGUGGAGGUUGCAGUGAGCCGAGAUUACAUCACUGCACUCCAGCCUGGGCAACAGAGUGACACCCUGUCUCAA